AAGCUUGGUCCUGACUUUAAUGUCAGCUUUGAUUGAAUUUAUACAUGCAAGUAUCUGCAACCCUGUGAGAAUGCCCUACUUGUCCCUAUAACACGGAAAGGAGGAGCAGACAUCAGGCACCACCUAGUAUUAGCCCACGACGUCUUGCUUAGCCACACCCCCAAGGGGAUCCAGCAGUAAUAAACAUUAAGCAAUGAGUGAAAACUUGACUUAGUUAAAAUCAUGCAGGGCCGGUCAAACUCGUGCCAGCCACCGCGGUUAUACGAGCGGCCCGAGUUGACAAAAUCGGCGUAAAGGGUGGUUAAUGCAUAAAAAACUAAGGCCGAACACCUUCACGGCUGUCACACGCAUCCGAAGGUAGGAAGAACCCCUACGAAAGUGGCCUUAACCACUUAUGAAUCCACGAAAGCUAGGAGACAAACUGGGAUUAGAUACCCCACUAUGCCUAGCCCUAAACAUUGAUACUCCAAUACACUGUAUUCGCCAGGGAACAACGAGCUCCGGCUUAAAACCCAAAGGACUUGGCGGUGCUUUAGACCCCCCUAGAGGAGCCUGUUCUAGAACCGAUACUCCCCGUUCAACCUCACCCUCUCUUGUUUUCCCCGCCUAUAUACCGCCGUCGUCAGCUUACCCUGUGAAGGUAAAACAGUAAGCAGAAUUGGCAUAGCCUAAAACGUCAGGUCGAGGUGUAGCGUACGAGAGGGGAAGAAAUGGGCUACAUUUACUCUGCUCAGUAAAUACGGAUGUUGUACUGAAAACCCAUCUGAAGGAGGAUUUAGCAGUAAGGAGGGAAUAGAGCGCCCCCCUGAAAAUGGCCCUGAAGCGCGCACACACCGCCCGUCACUCUCCCC
rnacentral:ncRNA from 1 species